rnacentral:rRNA from 2 species
UCUACGGGAGGCAGCAGUGGGGAAUCUUCCACAAUGGACGCAAGUCUGAUGGAGCAACGCCGCGUGAGUGAAGAAGGUUUUCGGAUCGUAAAGCUCUGUUGUUGGUGAAGAAAGAUAGUGAGAGUAACUGCUCAUUAUUUGCCGGUAAUCAACCAGAAAGUCACGGCUAACUACGUGCCAGCAGCCGCGGUAAUA